GAACUUGCCUUACAGACUGGGACAACAUUUGGAAACGAAUGCUAAUACCGGAUAUUAUGACUGAGUCGCAUGAUUUGGUUAUGAAAGCUAUAUGCGCUGUGAGAGACUUUGCGUCCCAUUAGUUAGUUGGUGAGGUAACGGCUCACCAAGACGAUGAUGGGUAGCCGGCCUGAGAGGGUGAACGGCCACAAGGGGACUGAGACACGGCCCUUACUCCUACGGGAGGCAGCAGUGGGGAAUAUUGGACAAUGGACCAAAAGUCUGAUCCAGCAAUUCUGUGUGCACGAUGAAGUUUUUCGGAAUGUAAAGUGCUUUCAGUUGGGAAGAAGUCAGUGACGGUACCAACAGAAGAAGCGACGGCUAAAUACGUGCCAGCAGCCGCGGUAAUACGUAUGUCGCAAGCGUUAUCCGGAUUUAUUGGGCGUAAAGCGCGUCUAGGCGGUUUAGUAAGUCUGAUGUGAAAAUGCGGGGCUCAACCCCGUAUUGCGUUGGAAACUGCUAAACUAGAGUACUGGAGAGGUAGGCGGAACUACAAGUGUAGAGGUGAAAUUCGUAGAUAUUUGUAGGAAUGCCGAUGGGGAAGCCAGCCUACUGGACAGAUACUGACGCUAAAGCGCGAAAGCGUGGGUAGCAAACAGGAUUAGAUACCCUGGUAGUCCACGCCGUAAACGAUGAUUACUAGGUGUUGGGGGUCGAACCUCAGCGCCCAAGCUAACGCGAUAAGUAAUCCGCCUGGGGAGUACGUACGCAAGUAUG
rnacentral:rRNA from 1 species